UGUCAGCAGCCGCGGUAAUACGGAGGAUCCAAGCGUUAUCCGGAUUUAUUGGGUUUAAAGGGUGCGUAGGCGGCCUAUUAAGUCAGGGGUGAAAGACGGUGGCUCAACCAUCGCAGUGCCCUUGAUACUGAUGGGCUUGAUUACACUUGAGGUAGGCGGAAUGUGACAAGUAGCGGUGAAAUGCAUAGAUAUGUCACAGAACACCAAUUGCGAAGGCAGCUUACUAAGGUGUCAAUGACGCUGAGGCACGAAAGCGUGGGGAUCAAACAGGAUUAGAUACCCUGGUAGUCCACGCCCUAAACGAUGAAUACUCGAUGUUAGCGAUAUACAGUUAGCGUCAAAGCGAAAGCGUUAAGUAUUCCACCUGGGGAGUACGCCCGCAAGGGUGAAACUCAAAUAAAUUGACGG
rnacentral:rRNA from 1 species